rnacentral:rRNA from 1 species
CAGUCGCCGCGGUAAUACGGAGGGGGCUAGCGUUGUUCGGAAUUACUGGGCGUAAAGCGCACGUAGGCGGAUAUUUAAGUCAGGGGUGAAAUCCCGCAGCUCAACUGCGGAACUGCCUUUGAUACUGGGUAUCUUGAGUAUGGAAGAGGUUAGUGGAAUUGCGAGUGUAGAGGUGAAAUUCGUAGAUAUUCGCAGGAACACCAGUGGCGAAGGCGGCUAACUGGUCCAUAACUGACGCUGAGGUGCGAAAGCGUGGGGAGCAAACAGGAUUAGAUACCCGCGUAGUCCCUGUCUCUUAUAA